rnacentral:rRNA from 1 species
GACGAACGCUGGCGGCGUGCUUAACACAUGCAAGUCGAGCGAUGAAUUUUCUUCGGAAAUGGAUUAGCGGCGAACGGGUGAGGAACACGUGAAGAAUCUGCCCUCCACUUUGGGAUAACACAGGGAAACCUGUGCUAAUACCGAAUAUUGAAACAUAAGUGGCAUCACUGAGUUUUGAAAGAAUUUCGGUGGAGGAUGACUUCGCGGCCUAUCAGCUAGUUGGUGAGGUAAUGGCUCACCAAGGCAACGACGGGUAGCCGGCCUGAGAGGGCGACCGGCCACACUGGGACUGAGACACGGCCCAGACUCCUACGGGAGGCAGCAGUGGGGAAUAUUGGGCAAUGGAGGAAACUCUGACCCAGCGACGCCGCGUGAGGGAUGACGGCCUUCGGGUUGUAAACCUCUUUCAGCACCGACGAAGCGCAAGUGACGGUAGGUGCAGAAGAAGGACCGGCCAACUACGUGCCAGCAGCCGCUGUAA